UACGAAGGGGGGCUAGCGUUGUUCGGAAUUACUGGGCGUAAAGCGCGCGCAGGUGGUUUCUCAAGUCAGUGGUGAAAGCCCGGAGCUCAACUCCGGAACUGCCAUUGAAACUGUGAAACUUGAGGACGAGAGAGGUGAGUGGAAUUCCUGGUGUAGCGGUGAAAUGCGCAGAUAUCAGGAGGAACACCGGUGGCGAAGGCGGAUCUCUGGGCCAUUACUGACGCUGAGGAGCGAAAGCGUGGGGAGCGAACAGGA
rnacentral:rRNA from 1 species